GGCAGCGGGUGCAGCAGCAGGCGACGCCCGAGCUUACCGAGGCUCCGCGGACCCGUCGGGCCGAGCCUCGCUGUCGCCACAGCGCGUCUCCGCGCCGUCCAGAGCCCCUAGCAUCUCCCGCGCAGCCACUUCGGGGCCAGGAGCGAGGAAGCGCUGUGCGAGAGCCCGAGCGCAGCCCCUUCCGCCGCCCGGGCACCAUGACCCACUUCAACAAGGGCCCUUCUUACGGGCUCUCUGCCGAGGUCAAGAACAAGAUUGCUUCCAAGUAUGACCACCAGGCAGAAGAAGAUCUUCGCAACUGGAUAGAAGAGGUGACAGGCAUGAGCAUUGGCACCAACUUCCAGCUGGGGCUGAAGGAUGGCAUCAUCCUCUGCGAACUUAUAAACAAGUUACAACCAGGCUCCGUGAAGAAGGUCAAUGAGUCUUCAUUAAAUUGGCCUCAGUUGGAAAAUAUUGGCAACUUCAUUAAGGCUAUUCAGGCUUAUGGUAUGAAGCCACAUGACAUAUUUGAAGCAAAUGAUCUUUUUGAGAAUGGAAACAUGACCCAGGUUCAGACUACACUGGUGGCUCUAGCAGGGCUGGCUAAAACAAAAGGAUUCCACACAACCAUUGACAUUGGAGUGAAGUAUGCAGAAAAGCAAACAAGACGUUUUGAUGAAGGAAAGUUAAAGGCUGGCCAAAGUCUGCAUGAGGCUUUGAAAGGGGCAUCUAGACACAAACCAAACACCAACUACCUAACCCCUCUUGCUUCCCUGAGGCAAACAGUGGCCGUUGCUGAUUUCCAGAUCCAGCGAAGACAUGGAUUCGCAGUGUUCCCUGAGCGCAUCUCUCGGGGGGCCCCUUGUUCCCAGGCUGCCAGCUUUCUCUCAGAUAAGAGUCCCACACGCACCCCUGAGCCUCGCUUUCAGCCACAGGUCAUCAGGCACGCCGCCGUGGACAUUGAUUAUCCUCCUCACUUUGGCUCGGAGGCAAUAACUGUCUGUCAAAACGGCUACUGCCAGCAGCAAUCACUUUUUAAAGGGACUGAGCACUUCUGA